AAAAUUGCUUGCAUCCUUUUCCCAUUUCUCAGAGAUGGAAGAAACAAGGACUUUUUUACUGACAUGUGUGAGGAUGCUGGAAAGGAUGGCCUACAGAGCCUGUGGGAGUUCUUGCUGACCACUCAGAGAAGGCCUUGAGCCAUGGCUUUUGCACGUCAGCAAAGCCAAGGUCACUUAGCUGGCUGAGAGUCCACUUUCCUUGAAAGUGAUGGGCUGGGAAGGUUGCACCCAUGGCCUGAGAUGGCCACUCACUGAGGACUACCAGGGAGUCUGACUCAUUUCAAAAUUAACUUCUUCAGCAGAGCCCUCUAAAGUCAAGAUCUGUCAGGAGCUGUGGGUUGUGGGCCUGUGUCCUGUGUCCUUCCUGUUGCUGUGAUGGGACAUGCUGACCAAAGCACCACAGAGGAGAAAGAGUUCUCUUUCCAGAUGACAGCCCAUCACUGAGGGAAGUUAAAGCAUUUCCUCUGACCAAGGAACUGGAACUCACUUCACAGACAAAGAAGUGGAGCAGGAACAACCAUGGAGGAUGCUGCAAGCUGGCUGGCUCCAAGGCUGGUUUAUACUUAGCUCCUGCUCAAAGACUGCUAUGCUUCCUUAGACAGCGCAGACCCACCUGCCUAGGGAUGCUGCUGUCCACAGUGUGCCGAGCCUCCUAUACCAGCGAACAACCCAGGCAGCCCCCUACAGACUUACCCACAGGCCAGUUUGGUCUAGGCGAUCUCCCAGUUGUGGAUCUCUUCUAAGGGGACCCCAGGCUAUGUCAAGUUGACAAUUAAAGCUAUCCGAGGCAGUGCAUCAA